AACCCCGACUCGCAGUUCCCGUGCUGAGAUUAGAUGCUUUAAUGCGACACUCCAGAAUCAUGGAGGUUCCAAGUUCCAGAAAGAGGAAUCCAGAUGUUGCCAUUUUAGAUCUGAAUUCUAAAUUAUAUUUCUGAACUAACUUCAUACAGUUGUCCUGUGCAAUUCAUUUAUGCAGGGAAUGUGGUUUGUCCUACAGUUUGUGCACGAUGGUGUCUAUGUUAUCGCCCAAGUGACAUGCAAUAAGAAGCGACCUUAAAGUGCGGCCACUCCUCAAAAGAUCAAAACACCAAAUGGACAGCAGUCUCAGAUGUUUGAAGUGAAAAGCGAAAACUUAAGAUCCCUCAUUCUGAUGGAAGAAAAACAAUGUUCACAAUAAUCCAUUAAGCUUUCAGAAAGUGAAGUUUAUGAGACCUCUACCUUCUCCCACUACUCAUUCAUCAGUUUUCAGUUAUUACGCAUGGUGGAAAUUGUUCAAGGAGGCUGUAAACUUUAAAGAAAGCAAAUAGAAAACUUGAUAAGCAUGAGGUUUUCCCAGAAGUCGCAGAGCAAUUAAAACACAACGGUGGAAUGCAGCAUGGAUAAGGUUGUAGCAAACAAAGAUAUGAUGCGAAUUACAGAGAGAGUUGUUACUACACUAUAUUUUCAGAAAGGGAUAAUUUUAGAAGCAAACUAUAUUCUUAUAACCAUGCUAAGGAUUUUAUAAUCUGUAGCCAGGGAAAAAAACUGUUUUAAGUGUAGCUGCAUGUCUAUCAGAUGCCAUUAAUGUGGCAAAAAGAUGCUAGAUAAUGUGAUUUAGUGGUCGGUGCUUGCAGGUAGUGGUGGAGAUGUGGUAGUUCCGGUGUUUGGUAAUGGUGGUUUGGACUCUUACUUAUCUUCUUUUCAUUUUAAUAUAUUUUCUGAAAAUUAUGAUUUUAGAAGCAUAGUAUAUUCUUAUAGCCAUGCUAAGGGUUUUAUAAUCUGUAUUUAAGGGAAAAAACUGUUUUAAGUGUAGCUGCACGUUCAUCAGAUGCCAUUACUAGUGUUUGGUAAUGGUGGUUUGGACUCUUUUUUCAAUAUUAAUUAAAUUGUUUACAUCUUAUUCAUGUAUGCCUAAUUAACUAGAAAGUAGAUUAGAUUUUGAUGAGAUUGUAACUCUGGAAUUAGUUUCGGUUUAAUAGAAACUGUAUGCUCUCUGAUUGGCUAUAACGUGAAUGGACUUAAUGGUAAAAGAAUGAGGCCCCUGUUCAGAUUCCUUUUAUAUGGCCACAAGGUCCAGAUUAUUCCUGAAUCAUUCUUUUUUUGAGAAAUGCAUGCAUGACACAAAAUGGUUUUUUAUGUAUUUUUGCUUCUUUGAUUUGUGACAGGAUACAAUGUAUGCAUCUGCCAACAAAUGUUGAACCCAUCAUCAUGUCUGGAAGUAUUGCUCCUGUUUGCUAGGUUUGAAUCAACUUUCAGGAGUUGCACAAUCUGCUUUGUAUUAGGUGGAAGGAUAGCUAUUCGGAACUUUGUUUGCGAAGAUGACUGCUUAUGUGUUAAUAAGUAAGCUGAAGUAAAUCCUCUAUUAGAUAUCCCUUUUGCACUCAAGUGUCAUUAUCCUAAACCCAUUAUACUAAA